rnacentral:sRNA from 12 species
GCGAGGAGGGCGCAUAUGUGCAAAGCACAUAUUUAGGAUGCGCCCGACAAUAUACCACAGAGCGAUAGCGAUGUGGUGAUACCCGGG